rnacentral:rRNA from 1 species
GUUAGGAAUAUUGGACAAUGGGCGCAAGCCUGAUCCAGCCAUGCCGCGUGAACGAUGAAGGCCUUCGGGUUGUAAAGUUCUUUAGCCGAUGAUUAUAAUGACUGUAGUCGGAAAAUAAGCCCCGGCUAACUUCGUGCCAGCAGCCGCGGUAAUACGAAGGGGGCGAGCGUUAUUCGGAAUCACUGGGCGUAAAGCGUGCGUAGGCGGUCUCGUAAGUUAGGAGUGAAAGCCCAGGGCUCAAGCUUGGAAUUGCUCUUAAAACUGCAAGGCUAGAAGCUCGGAGAGGAUAGCGGAAUUUCCAGUGUAGCAGUGAAAUGCGUAGAUAUUGGAAGGAACACCAGUGGCGUAAGCGGCUAUCUGGACGAGUAUUGACGCUGAGGCACGAAAGCGUGGGGAUCAAACAGGAUUAGAAACCCUGGUAGUCC